CCGGAAGUCGGGCGGACGGUGCUCUCGCCAACCUGGUCAGGUCCGGAAGGAAGCAGCCACAACGAAUUCGUGCCGGGUCGUCCGGCUUCCACCGC
rnacentral:SRP_RNA from 1 species